rnacentral:tRNA from 1 species
GUACUGGUAGUUCAGUGGUAGAAUUCUCCCCUUCCACGUGGGAGGCCUGGUUUGAUUUCCAGCCAGUGCA